UACAGAGGUCUCAAGCGUUAAUCGGAAUUACUGGGCGUAAAGCGUGCGCAGGCGGCUCCUUAAGUCAGAUGUGAAAGCCCCGGGCUUAACCUGGGAACUGCGUUUGAAACUGGGGAGCUGGAGUGUAGAAGAGGGGGGUGGAAUUCCAGGUGUAGCAGUGAAAUGCGUAGAUAUCUGGAGGAACACCGAUGGCGAAGGCAGCCCCCUGGGCUAACACUGACGCUCAUGCACGAAAGCGUGGGGAGCAAACAGG
rnacentral:rRNA from 1 species